AUGGCGAUUGAACCUCUCCGUGACAAUCUGGACAACCUCGCAGCAACCGCCCAACCGUAUGGUGAUUCCUCUUCCCACCAACAACUCACCGUGUACAACUACGACCUGAGUGGUCCACUUUCAACAGUUCUCUCCCCAGCCAACCAAGUAAGUAUCAACAGCAGCCAUGGACAAAACAAAUUUCAGAUUGCUGCAGGGGGUAGCCCUGAGCACCGCCGAAUCAGAUCAAACGAUGCUCUUCACUACAUAAGCCAGAUGCUGAUGGAAGACGUUGACGAAGAGGUCGACAUAUGCCAAGGGGCUGCUCUUCAGGCUACUGAGAAGCCAUUCCGUGAUAUUCUAGGUGAGGUAUACGUGUCGCCUACUAACUGGCCGCCAUUGCAUAGCAACAACAAACCAGACAACCCUGAUAAGGACUAUUCCAGUUACAAUGUGUUACAACCUUCAGCAACUCCGCUGUGUCCAUAUAUCUGCAAUAGGAGUCCUUUUUUACCAAACCAGCCUUUGAUAAGUGUUGGAUGGACUUCCGGAUCUGGCUUCCCUGCCUUGCAUGGUCAGAGAGGUGUCGGGGAGGAAAGAACCUUUGCUCCAAGUAUUGAUAAGCUGGUGAUAUAUUCAAAGAAUAACAUAGUUUAUAUUUCCCAACUGACUACGAAGGCGAAAGUAAGAGAGAGGACCGAAAACACAAUCUUUGAGGUGUCAGACCUAAGGGCUUGGGAUAUCUUUCAAGGAAGGAGCAAUAAACACCAUGCCAUCACCACUUGUGCAAUAAUUCGAAAUGAAAAUUUCGACAAAGUUCUACUAUGCUAUGGUCAUUCUGGCCGAAUAACAAGACUGGAAGAAAGGAUGGCGGGGGAAGGAAACAAGACCUCACUGAAAGGCCGGAGCAGAAGUAGGAAGCAACCGAGGAAAGAGUUGGUUGAUCUCAGGACUCUCCUCAUCCACUGCGCACAAGCUGUGGCAGAACAUAGCUACCUGUUGGCCAGCGAACUGCUAUUGAAGAUAAGGCACCACUCUUCAGCAGAUGGUGAUUGUACUCAGAGACUGGCAUUUUACUUGGCGGAUGGCCUCAAGUCACGCUUGGCUGGGACCGGGAGUCAGGUUUAUCGCAACCUCGUGGAAAGGCGAACAAGUACCGUAGAUUGGUUAGAGGCUUAUAGCCUUUUUCUUGCAGCUUUCCCUUUCGGAAGGGCGUCAUACUAUUUUGCCAACCAAGCUAUUCUUGAUGUCUCACAAGGGAAACCAAGGGUACACAUCGUUGAUUUCGGCAUUGGCUUCGGCUUUCAGUGGCCAUUAAUGAUUCAGAAUUUUGCACAGCAAGAAGAGGGAGCCCCUAAGCUUCGGAUCACAGGUAUAGACGUUCCCCAGCCAGGUUUCCGCCCCUGCGAAAUGAUCGAGGAGACAGGGAAGCGGUUGGCUGAUUACGCAAAUAGGUUCAACGUACCAUUCCAGUAUCAGGGCAUUGCCGCUUCAAGAUGGGAGACAAUCAAAAUUGAGGAUCUUAACAUUGACGAGGAUGAAGUUCUCAUAGUGAACUGCAUGUUCCGGAUGAAGAAUCUUGGUCAUGAAACUGAUGCCGUAAAUGGUGCAAGGGAUAAGGUGCUCAAAACUAUGUGGAGGAUGAACCCGAAGAUUUUUAUUUCUGGCACCGUGAAUGGGUUACUCAGUUCUCCCUUCUUCAUACAACGUUUCAAAGAGGUUAUGCUCUAUUACUCUUCAAUAUUUGACAUGCUUGAUGCAAAUGUUCCACGUGAUAAUGAAGCAAGAAAGAUGAUUGAGAGGAUCCUAUUUGGGCAGGAUGCUCUUAACAUCAUAGCAUGUGAGGGCGCAGACAGAACUGAGAGGCCGGAAUGUUACAGGCAGUGGCAAGCAAGGUGCCUCAAGGCUGGGUUCCAGCAGCUUCCUGUCGAUCCAGCCAUCCUAAAGAACAUAGUACACAGGAAGAAGUUAUUGUUUCAUGAGGAAUUCUUUGCUGUUGAAGAUUGCGGCUGGCUGCUACAAGGAUGGAAAGGGAGAGUACUUUAUGCUCUAUCUAAAUGGAAACCUAAUGAAACAUAUGAGGACCACUAUUUGCAUGAUUCUGAACACAAUGGGUCUAAAUUGCUGAAUAACAUUUUAAAAUGCGCUACGGGCAUCCGGUGCACCGGUAGCACCACAAGCACCGGUGCAUGA
rnacentral:rRNA from 1 species